rnacentral:rRNA from 1 species
GACGAACGCUGGCGGCGUGCUUAACACAUGCAAGUCGAGCGGUAAGGCCCUUUCGGGGGUACACGAGCGGCGAACGGGUGAGUAACACGUGGGUGACCUGCCCUCAGCUCUGGGAUAAGCCUGGGAAACCGGGUCUAAUACUGGAUAUGACUCCAUGACGCAUGUUGUGGGGUGGAAAGCCUUGUGCGGCUGAGGAUGGGCCCGCGGCCUAUCAGCUUGUUGGUGGGGUGAUGGCCUACCAAGGCGACGACGGGUAGCCGGCCUGAGAGGGCGACCGGCCACACUGGGACUGAGACACGGCCCAGACUCCUACGGGAGGC